UACGUAGGGUGCAAGCGUUGUCCGGAAUUAUUGGGCGUAAAGAGCUCGUAGGCGGUCUGUCGCGUCUGCUGUGAGAACUCAGGGCUUAACCCUGAGCUUGCAGUGGGUACGGGCAGACUAGAGUGCGGUAGGGGGAGACUGGAAUUCCGUGGUGUAGCGGUGAAAUGCGCAGAUAUCAGGAGGAACACCGAUGGCGAAGGCAGGUCUCUGGGCCGAUAAACUGACGCUGGAGAAGCGAAAGCAUCGGGGAGCGAACAGG
rnacentral:rRNA from 1 species